rnacentral:rRNA from 1 species
CCGGAUUAAUACCGCAUGCGUCCUACGGGAGAAAGCAGGGGAUCUUCGGACCUUGCGCUAUUGGAUGAGCCUAAGUCGGAUUAGCUAGUUGGUGGGGUAAAGGCCUUCCAAGGCGACGAUCGGUAGCUGGUCUGAGAGGAUGAUCAGGCACAUCGGGACUGAGACACGGCCCGAACUCCUGCGGGAGGCAGCAGUGGGGAAUGUUGGACAAUGGGGGCAACCCUGAUCCAGCCAUGCCGCGUGUGUGAAGAAGGCUUUCGGGUUGUAAAGCACUUUCAGUAGGGAGGAAAACCUUAUGGCUAAUACCCAUGAGGCUUGACGUUACCUACAGAAGAAGCACCGGCUAACUCCGUGCCAGCAGCCGCGGUAAUACGGAGGGUGCAAGCGUUAAUCGGAAUUACUGGGCGUAAAGCGGGCGUAGGUGGUUUGGUAAGCGAGAUGUGAAAGCCCCGGGCUUAACCUGGGAACGGCAUUUGGAACUGUCAGCCUACAGUGUGGUAGAGGGUAGUGGAAUUUCCUGGGUAGCGGUGAAAUGGGGAGAUAUAGGAAGGAACACCAGUGGCGAAGGCGGCUACCUGGACCGACACUGACACUGAGAGGGGGAAGCGGGGGGGGCGGACAGGAUUAGAUACCCUGGAGGUCCCCCCCCAGCGCCCCCUAGCCGUUAGAGUCGUGAAGUGGGGGGGCGCAGCUACGCAUUGAGGGCCCUCGGGGGGGGGGGCGUAAUAGCCGGGGGG